rnacentral:rRNA from 1 species
GUCCAGACUCCUACGGGAGGCAGCAGUGGGGAAUAUUGCACAAUGGGGGAAACCCUGAUGCAGCGACGCCGCGUGAAGGAAGAAGUAUUUCGGUAUGUAAACUUCUAUCAGCAGGGAAGAAAAUGACGGUACCUGACUAAGAAGCCCCGGCUAACUACGUGCCAGCAGCCGCGGUAAUACGUAGGGGGCAAGCGUUAUCCGGAUUUACUGGGUGUAAAGGGAGCGUAGGCGGUUCAGCAAGUCAGAAGUGAAAGCCCGGGGCUCAACUCCGGGACUGCUUUGGAAACUGUUUGACUGGAGUGCAGGAGAGGUAAGUGGAAUUCCUAGUGUAGCGGUGAAAUGCGUAGAUAUUAGGAGGAACACCAGUGGCGAAGGCGGCUUACUGGACUGUAACUGACGUUGAGGCUCGAAAGCGUGGGGAGCAAACAGGAUUAGAUACCCCAGUA